AUUGAACGCUGGCGGCAGGCCUAACACAUGCAAGUCGAACGGUAGCACAGAGAGCUUGCUCUCGGGUGACGAGUGGCGGACGGGUGAGUAACGUCUGGGAAACUGCCCGAGGGAGGGGGAUAACUACUGGAAACGGUACCUAAUACCGCAUAACGUCGCAAGACCAAAGUGGGGGACCUACGGGCCUCACACCAUCGGAUGUGACCAGAUGGGAUUAGCUAGUAGGGGGGGUAAUGGCUCACCUAGGCGACGAUCCCUAGUUGGUCUGAGAGGAUGACCAGACACACUGGAACUGAGACACGGUCCAAACUCCUACGGGAGGCAGCAGUGGGGAAUAUUGCACAAUGGGCGCAAGCCUGAUGCAGCCAUGCUGCGUGUAUGAAGGAGGCCUUCGGGUUGUAAAGUACUUUCAGCGGGGAGGAAGGCGGUGAAGUUAAUAACUUCACCGAUUGACGUUACCCGCAGAAGAAGCACCGGCUAACUCCGUGCCAGCCGCCGCGGUAA
rnacentral:rRNA from 1 species